rnacentral:rRNA from 1 species
UCGCACGAGAAAGGGCUUCGGCCCCGGUACAGUGGCGCACGGGUGAGUAACACGUAGGUAAUCUCCCCUCGAGUGGUGGAUAACCCUCCGAAAGGAGGGCUAAUACAGCAUGAGACCACAGCUUCGUUGAAGCUGCGGCCAAAGCAGGCCUCUACAUGUAAGCUUGCGCUUGAGGAUGAGCCUGCGGCCCAUCAGCUAGUUGGUAGGGUAACGGCCUACCAAGGCGAAGACGGGUAGCUGGUCUGAGAGGAUGAACAGCCACACUGGAACUGAGACACGGUCCAGACUCCUACGGGAGGCAGCAGUGGGGAAUCUUGCGCAAUGGGCGAAAGCCUGACGCAGCGACGCCGCGUGAGCGAUGAAGGCCUUCGGGUUGUAAAGCUCUGUGGGGAGGAAAGAAUAAGGUUUGGCUAAUAUCCAAGCCGAUGACGGUACCUCCUUAGCAAGCACCGGCUAACUCUGUGCCAGCAGCCGCGGUAAGACAGAGGGUGCAAACGUUGUUCGGAAUUACUGGGCGUAAAGCGCGUGUAGGCGGCCCUGCAAGUCGGGUGUGAAAUCCCAUGGCUCAACCAUGGAAGUGCACUCGAAACUGCAGGGCUAGAGUCCUGGAGAGGAAGGUGGAAUGCUUGGUGUAGAGGUGAAAUUCGUAGAUAUCAAGCGGAACACCGGUGGCGAAGGCGGCCUUCUGGACAGUGACUGACGCUGAGACGCGAAAGCGUGGGGAGCAAACAGGAUUAGAUACCCUGGUAGUCCACGCCGUAAACGAUGAGUGCUAGGUGUCACGGGCUUUGACCCUCGUGGUGCCGAAGCUAACGC